CAGUUCUGUAUUUAUAGCAGUGUAAACGAGAUAUUUAAACUAUUCUCGGACCACAUGACGUGACACAGAGGGAGGUGACAGAGGGAGUUUAAAAGGAUCGGCAAGUGUGAGAACACGCUUGUGGCAAAUAAAUCUGUUAGUUGAAGUUUUCAGUGACACGGAUUCUGGACCCACAGCGGGAAUAAUGAUGUUCUGCAGAGUGGCUUGGCAAAGACUUGCGCCUCUGGCACACAAAACACUCAAUCCUUUCAGCAAUGCUACACAGAGGGUGUGUGUUUGCCUAAAUGCAUGCACAGACACAAAAGACUAAAACGCAUGCUUGCUGCAUCAUGUUUGUCUCAUCCAGUGUAACUUUGCAUGUUACUUAAAAUUUCCACUUACCAAACUAAUUCUUUGAUACAACUUUAUUAGUGGCACAAUUACUGGUACUGGUGAAAAUAACAUUACAACAUACAUUACAACAUUUAUACAGUUAUUAGUUUCUGCACUGGAUUUU
ensembl:lncRNA